GAUGAAGAACGCAGCGAAAUGCGAUAAGUAGUGUGAAUUGCAGAAUUCCGUGAAUCAUCGAAUCUUUGAACGCACAUUGCGCCUUCUGGUAUUCCGGAAGGCAUGCCUGUUCGAGAGUCAUUAACAACCGUUUCGAUCCCUUUCUUUCAGAAAUUACAAAGAGGAAAAGGGUUUGGUUAUGGUGGAGGAGGGAAAGGGAGCGUUUAGCCUGUAAAAAAAGAGGCUGUGUUCCGCCUCCCCCCCAAAAUUGUACAGGCGGUCGUGUGCGCCCACGCAUCGAGGUGUUGUAAAAGCUGCCACGGCACUUUUCACCUGUGCAGUGCGAGAUUGGCCAGCCGGUUUAAAACCCCCUCCAAACAAUCAAAGGUUGACCUCGGAUCAGGUAGGGAUACCCGCUGAACUUAAGCAUAUCAAUAAGCGGAGGA
rnacentral:misc_RNA from 1 species